CCUACGGGUGGCUGCAGUGAGGAAUAUUGGUCAAUGGGCGCGAGCCUGAACCAGCCAAGUCGCGUGAAGGAUGACGGUCCUAUGGAUUGUAAACUUCUUUUGUGCAGGAAUAAAGUGAGGAACGUGUUCCUUUUUGUAUGUACUGUACGAAUAAGCAUCGGCUAACUCCGUGCCAGCAGCCGCGGUAAUACGGAGGAUGCGAGCGUUAUUGGGAUUUAUGGGGGUGAAGGCGGGCUUAGAAGUCAGUGUAGAAAGUUUGCAGCUUAACUGUAAAAUUGCCAUUGAAACUGUUAGUCUUGAGUGCAAAUGAGGUAGGCGGAAUGUGUUGUGUAGCGGUGAAAUGCUUAGAUAUAACACAGAACUCCGAUUGCGAAGGCAGCUUACUGGGAUGCAACUGACGCUGAUGCACGAAAGCGUGGGUAUCAAACAGGAUUAGAUACCCUAGUAGUC
rnacentral:rRNA from 1 species